AGAAACCAACAAAAAAAGGUAUGAAAAUAUUUACCUUUGGACUUUUGGUGUUUCCUAGUUGACUCUCUUUGAGGAUGGGAUGAUGCGAGGGUCGCCAGGGGAACUCACGACAGUCUCUGAAAAGUGACCCAGGUUUACAAGCCCGGGACGGACUGGAGCAUUUUGAGGUGCUUCCGAAGUUCAUUUGGGUUGUGAACAUAAUUGCCUUUAUCUCUGGAAGGUGUGUGUCACUAAAUGGGAAAGGUACACCUGUUUCCCAUCCAGCAAUCCCAGCGUUAAUAGGACCAGUACUUUGUAAAUGAGCUCCCUGGCACCGGUGUCGUGGCUGUGGUUAAUGCAAGGUAUUUGGUCGUGCUUUAAGGAAUUGGAAAAUGCUUUGCGUUUCUCUGUGGAAGGCAGCAGUCCAAAGCACCUCUGGGGGCAGGUAUCUGGGCGGUAUUUGCAUCUGUUUAUGAGUGUGAUGAGAGGGUUAGGAGGCAGUUGCCAAGGGCAUAUGAGUACUGAUUGGGGAAUUGCUCAAGUUAUGGGUACCCUCCUCCUCUCUCAGUGGCCCCAAGCUUUACCAUCCUUUUAGGAUAGUUUGUCGCAGACACAAAGAAUGGAUUAAAAAUAGGGUUGUGAGAGCUGGCUUAUUACUAGGUUUCUAAGUCUGUUCAUAUUUGCUGGUAAUUUUAAGUAAUGUCACUUCUUUAGAAGAUUGUAUUGGAAACCAAAGAAUUGAAUUGGAGCAACAAUUUGCAGAUUAUUUCACAGUUGGGUUUGUUGCUAAAUGGAAUUUUACCUGUAGAUUCACUGAAGGCUCUGCUAAAUACUCUUUGAUAAUGAUAAUAAAUGGUACUUUGAUUAAAAUGCAGUCGAUAUGUUUUGAGGAGAUAACCAGGAGAGAAGAAUAUGUACUUUCUCAUUUAAGCAUGAAAGACAGAAUAUUGAAGCCUGAGUAUGUUAUAUAGACACAAUAUAGUUUCAUGUUAUAUGCAAAAAAUGAACAUUUUUGUGGUCCUUCAGACCUUUGUUAGCAGCUCCAACAUUCAAGUGCAAGGAUUUUGGACCUGAUUUUCAGCCACAUGGGCCCCUCACUGUGAGUUCUAGCCUGAGCAGUUACAUUUGUGGCCCUUAGUUUGAAGACUGGGAAUAGCCAGGCUUAAUUCAGCACAAUAAGGACUCAUGUUUUGCCUUUGCUGCUAGCUCUCACAAGGCACAGGAUUCAUUAUAGUUUGGCAUCUUUAAAGCUGUAUUGCUUUCUGCCAAAAAAUAAAGUCAGUAUAUACAUCAGAAGUAAACAGUCAUGUAUAGUGAGCACCGACUUGUUCUAGUGGUUUAUUUACACUCUGAAGCACGAAAUGAAGCUUUUGUCAGUGCAGUGAGAAACAAUAAUUUGGCAUGUUUAUAUAUAUUACUAGCAUCCUGAGGUAUGUGCAUCACCAAAUGAUGAAAGCAAAAAAAAGGAAAAAAGCCAUGAUAUCCACAUUGCCUCCUUAGGAGAUGCAAAUGGGAGUGUGCCGGAUGUCAGUGGCUGAGAUUGGCCACCUGGUGGAAGUAGGGGACAGCACAGAGCAUCCUCAGGUGUAAACUACCAGUUGUCACUCUGGCUGCUUCACAGUAGUAGCAGUCUUCUGCAUUUCUAGGCUUCAGAGUCUUAAAUGAUAAGUCUAAAUUUUGUAAAAUUAUUUGAUAAUUUUGUAAACUCAUAAUUUUAUGAGGUCUUAGUUUUAUAAAUUAAAUUUAAAAAGCCUGGCCCUAAUUUUUGGUAUAUGGUAUAAAACAUGGACUGAUAACCACAGCUAUUGGUUUCUCUGAAGAAUUCUGUAACUUGACUUACCAAGCGUGUCCAAAGAGAUAAAAGGACUGUUUCUGGGUCACUGUUCUCUAGCAAUUUCUAGUCGCACUGUGAUAAUGUGAUGACUGGUUGGUAAUUUAGCAUCUCGUACAAUGUGUUGUAGCAUUUGUAAAAACGCAUUUGCAAAGGAUGAUAGUUAGUUUUUAAUGGUUUCAUCAUUACCCAAACACUUAGGUUUGGAUUUGUGGCUGUGGAGAAUAAUGUUCUCCAGAAUAACAUGGAGACCUCGAGGAAACAUGCUAUAAAUGUGAGGUACUGUCACCUGACCUGCUGUGCCUGGUGAGUAUUGAUCGUAUCCAGUGUGCUGAGAAAAGGCAUGGGGACCCAUGCUGGUGGUGAUAGGAAGGAGAAUGUUGUGCCAUGGAUUAUUAAGAGAGGUGGAUGGAGGUUGAAAAACUUCUGUGAGCAUGUGUUUCAUUAUUUUGUGCUCUCAGUUAAAAUGGGGAUAAUAAGAUCACAUAAAUUUAUACAAUUUGGCACAGCAUUGGAGUGUUAUAAACGUAGUUCAAGGUCAACCAUUGAUUUCCAUAUGUGCCAGUUCUUUGUAGCAAGUAUACAGCGUAGUUUUGGACAUCAGUAUCAAGUGUUUUCUCUGGUAUAUUCCAUAUCACUUGAUGAAAGUCAUUUGAGCUCUUAUGGGGGAGGAAUUACUUGUUUUCCAACUAUGUGAUUAUUCUUUCGUAUGUGUAACUCAUUAAUAUGACAUCCAGGCAGUCUCCUUUGGCCUACUUUUCAGCUUUCUUUCUCUUAUGGGGAAAAGUUGCCGGUUAAUUCUUUAAUGCUUUUAAAGUAAUUUUAUAUCCCCAGGGCUUUGAAAAAUAGGAGUUGGUUAAUUUGUUAUUCAACCAGAAGAAUAUUGGAAGUGUAGUUCUUAACGUGUGCAUUAAAAAAUAGAACACAUGUUAUGAUUCUUCAUUUCGCAUUUUUGACGUGUACAGAGAUUGUAUGGUGGAUAGCAAAGUUGGGGAUCCUGUUAGGUGAUCGAGGGUCCAUUCCCCAGGCUGUCUGGGUGUAGAUCUCUGCUUCUUUACCUCAUAAUCUGUUGAAAUGAAAGCCAAAGGUGGAGGCUUCAAUACGUUUAAAAGUGUUGGAGGAGUUCCCAUUGUGGCUCAGUGGAAACGAAUCCAACUAGGACCCAUGGGGUUGUGGGUUCGAUCCCUGGCCUCACUCAGUGGGUUAAGGAACCUGUGUUGCCAUGAGCUGUGGUGUAGGUCACAGAUGCGGCUUGGAUCUGGCUGUACUGUGGCUGUGAGAUAGACUGGAGGCUACAGCUCCGAUUAGACCCCUGGCCUGGGAACCUCCGUAUGCUGUGGGUGUGGCCCUAAAAAGACCAAAAAAAAAAAAGGUGUUGGAAAAGGAAGAUGAAUACACACUGAGAGGCUGCAGGGCUUGUGAUGAAGGGGCGGUAGGAAAAGGACCGUGGCACAGACCAUCUCUUCAACACCUGUGCUCCAGAAUCCUAAAGUAGUUACCCAGGGGCUGUUUACAUGGUUUCAGAGACUGGUCAGUCCUGCAGCCAAGAUGCUGGUUCUGGCCCUGCACCCUCACUUUCCCUCCUAACUAAGAAGUGACUCCCUUGAAUUGUGGUGUCAUGUACUUUGAAUAUUAUAAACCACACAUUAGGGCGUAAGAAUAAAGAUUUUCCACAAGAGAGUAUUACAUACUCUAAUUGGUCAGGGAGACCUGUUAAAUAAUCAAGACAGUAAUGGGGUGAUUAUAAUAAACCUAUGUGUUUGUUGUCCCGUGUGUUUAAAUGGGAAACUGUUUCUUUGAGUAUCAGUCCAUUAUGAACCGGGGCUUCCCUCUCUCAGAACCGUAGUCAUUCAAGGGAGACGUGGCACUUCACACAAUAUUAUCACUUGUGAUGUGUCGGGCAUAGCGGUAUUGAAGAGGGAUGCUUACUCAAACUCUUGACUGUGAAUCUAUGAUGAAAGGUUUCUUUGUGGUCUUAUCUGGCAUUUUGUCUUGUUUCAUAUGGUUUCCUCAGACCUUGUUUAGUCUGAUUCAGUUCCAUCUCUUUUCUGUCAAUCAGACCCUUGUGUGUGCUUCCUAAUGGACCAGGUACUGUUGUCAAUACUUCACAAAUACGUAUUUCAUCCCCACAAGAACCCAGGAAGUAGGUACUAUUAUGAUCCCUGUUUUAAGAAGGAAGAAACUGAUGUGAUCAUUUAAGUCAUGUUAACCUAAAGGUACGCAAAACGUCCCAGAAUCCUGACUUCUUUAUGUCAAGCAAUGCUGCAAGAUUUGCUCCUUAAUUCACUGACAUAAAGUGUAGAAAGAAAGGCACUAAUUGUUAUGUCCUUUGGGCUUUUUUCUUAUUUUAGUAAAAAGAAACAAAACCUAAAGUUAUAAAACAAGAAACAUUUCUUCAUAGCAUAUUAUGACAUAUGCCAGUAUUUUCUGCACAAAGAAACCAAAAUAGACUAAUUUAUAGAAAAGAUACUUUCUGAAGGUAGUUGUUCUUUCACUUAUUAUUUGUAUGCAUACAUUAAAAGAAUAUGUAUUUUCUGUUGUGUCAGGCUUGCUGUGUACAUAUAAGUACAUUUUUUAUAUGUGUCUGUUUUGCAUUACCUUAUGUAGGCUGUCAUCAGUCUAGGGUCACAUUUUUUAAAAAGAACUGAAGUAUACGGAGUUCCCGUGUCGUGGCGCAGUGGUUAAUGAAUCCGACUAGGAACCAUGAGGUUGCGAGUUUGCUCCCUGGCCUUGCUCAGUGGGUUGAGGAUCCAGUGUUGCCGUGAGCUGUGGUGCAGGUUGCAGAUGCAGCUCAGAUCCGGUGUUGCUGUGGCUCUGGCAUAGGCCGGUGGCUACGGCUCUGAUUCAACCCCUAGCCUGGGAACCUCCAUAUGCCAUGGGAGCAGCCCUAGAAAAG
rnacentral:lncRNA from 1 species